UUGUUUAUUUUCCCUUUCCAUCGAGUCAGAAUAAGCGUGAGAAGAUGAUGAACCAUGUUCAUCUUUAUUUAUAACAUCCUCCCUCAAGUUGAAGAAGAGUGAAGUGACACCCAACUUGCACACGUUCUGAUGGCGAGAGGGUCCGACAAGGGAUUUUGUGAAGAUAUUGAGGAGUUGGUUUUUAGAGGGAACAAAGAAAAGAGAUAUUAAGCCUGAGAGAUAUUGUUGACGAACAAAAUGACAAUCGAGUUUGACGUGUUUCGUUGUUCAUGGAAAACCAAAUUUCGAGCAAUAUGGAGAGAUACUUGAUCUUCGGAGUGAAUCGAAACAGGGAGAGGCGGAGGAACAAAUAGAUCGAUCAGUAAUUUUGUUAAUCAGGGGAUUAGUGAACCCCCCAAACAGAUGAAAAAGCCACUAACUGACCGUUGUCCAGUACAACAAGAAGUCCAGUCGGCAUCACAAUAAGUAUUGGGAGAAAAGGAAGGUGAAACACUGAGGAAAAUUCCUUGAUUCAGAUAAUAUUUCAGAAAACUUGACAACAGGAUCAAAUGGAGAAGAAGCUUGAGGAAGAUGUGAGACAUCAAAUUCAUAUAGGAAAUCCAAGGUGAAUAUGAAGAGUGAAGAUAAUAAACAUGAGUGGGAUCUAUAGCUGGUGGAGUUUUGCUAGUGGAACUAGAUGAUACACUAGAAGUAGCGACUUCAUCCACCAUUGUUGAGAUUGGUUAGAUAAAGAAAUUGAUAAACAAGAAGAUGAUUUGUAAUAACUACUGCUCUGAGAUACUAUGUAGAGAAUAAGAGACAAUAUUUGAAAAUUUUCUUCUCUGUAUAUUCCUUGCCAAUCACGUUUAUUUAUACAAGCUAUUGAAAUAAAAAAGAACCUUCUAUUCUAACUAAUUAUCCACCUGUCCUAUUUAGAGCUAAACUAAUUAUAUUUCUUUACAAUGCUUAGAAAAGUAGAUAACAAAUUAUAUGUUAUGUAUACUAGAUAAUCAGUUGUAGUUGGGCCGUUCAGCUGUAACUGGGCCGACUCCUUAUGUGCUGCUUAAUUAAUAUUGGGCCGCCUGUGUGAUGGUUGUUUGUAGGGCCCAAAUCUUGACCCAUGUUGGAGCUGGUUAUAUCUGGUGAUGUAGUCAUUCUCUUGUCCACGCACGUGUAUGGUGGAGUAGUUCUUUGAUAGCUUCUAGAUUUAGAGACAACUUUUGGUCAGAGUUUUGGAUCAUUUUCCCUUUCCAUCGAGUCAGAAUGAGAGUGAGAAGAUGAUGAACCAUGUUCAUCUUUAUUUCUAACACUAGAAGUGCAAGGCCUGUGUCAGCACGGGCCCAACAAUAAAACAUGUGGAUUGCAAUUUUUAAGUUUUAAAAUUUAUGUUGGAGUAGAAAGUUUGAGCAGUAGAAUGUUUUCAUUGGUACGAUAAAAUAUACUUAUAAAAUAUAUUUCUGUAAAUUUUUUAUCAAACUCUUCUUUUAUAUAUAUUCCUUCUAUUGAAACGUAGGAGUCGUUUGUUAUAGUGUAUAAAUUUUCUUUUUGAAUAUAAUAUAUUAGUAAUAUUUGUAUUAGUAAUGCUUCUAUUAGUGAAUACUGGUAUUAUUUAUGUUAACAUGCAGCAUUAAAAUUUACCUUUUCGAUUUUGAUAUAUUUAAAUAAAAGUUUUUUUUUUUAAAAGAAUUGCAUAUACAUUUUAAGAUUCAUUCGAGAUCUAGCACGGGUUCAAUAUAUUAUUUUUUAUCUCAAUUUAUAUGAUACAAAUAGAAUUUAGAUAAUCAAUAAUACUUUUAAUAGGCAUUUAGA